CAGCCCUAAACGAUGCGCGUUAGGUGUAUCGGUGACCACGAGUCACCGAGGUGCCGAAGGGAAGCCGUGAAGCGAGCCACCUGGGAAGUACGGCCGCAAGGCUGAAACUUAAAGGAAUUGGCGGGGGAGCACCACAACGGGUGGAGCUUGCGGUUUAAUUGGAUUCAACGCCGGAAAUCUUACCGGGACCGACAGCAACAUGAAGGCCAGGCUGAAGACUUUGCCGGAUUAGCUGAGAGGAGGUGCAUGGCGUAGACGUCU
rnacentral:rRNA from 1 species